rnacentral:lncRNA from 1 species
UAACGUGUACAGAAAUAGGCAACCGGAUCCUUUACAUAAUUAUGAAAUCAGUUCGUAAACAAACAAAAGGCUGUGAUGAACAUUUAACUAAGCAUACCCUUAAUUAUUUAAUGAAAAUAGUUUGAAAUAUUCCAGUAUGUGCAUCAGCAUUAGUCAAUGUCAAUGAAUGGUAAUUGUUAAAAUUGGAGGUGAGUUUUAUCAUUGAAUAGCUUUUUCUGGAGUCCUUAAGCAUGGCAAGGAUACCAGUAAUGAGUGUAUCAGCAUCCAUUAAUGAUCCUGUUGCUGUUAUGAAUACUUACUGCUCAUAUGUAUCAAUGCUCAUAGAUCCUGUUGCAAAGGAGGAAAGUAAAUUGAAAGCUUUGCCAGAAUUGAGUGGAGAGCUUGAAGUGGAAAAUGAGGAAAACAUAUUAGUAGUUUUAAGAUUCAAUCAUAGAAUUUCAUAAGACCUUCAGGCCACCAUGCAGCUUUGAAGCCUUUUGCUUAUAGUACUUUAGCUGAUCUUGUGCAUCAUAUGAGACAAUAUUUAUAGUUGAAGGUUCUGGCUAAGGCUGUAAAUGUGUUCUCAAGAAAUGUUCAUGAUGAAUCUUUAGUAACUACAAUUUAAACAAUGUCUUGUAUGCUUAUUCUGAAUUUAAUUAAAUGCAUUAGAAUGAGAUCUGAUCAAGAAAAUGUCAAUCCGUAAGUUGUUAGUGAGGAUGCUUGAAGUUUUAGUUUUAAAACUACUGCAAAGCUGCAACUGCCUGCUCUGCAGAAAAAAGCUGCCCAGCCUUUAAAACAUCAAACCUUGGCUAUUUCUGACUCACACUCUGCCCCUCCCAUAGUUGCCUCUUCAAGUUCUUCCCUUUCAAAUGUGACAUCUUUUGUAUCUGCAGCUCAGGAUAUCAUGUUAAUCCACUUAGUUAUGCUCCUGGAGUCCUCCCGGUAAAGACUUCCAUUCAGGUGGUCUAUUAGACCGACCAGAUGAAUAAACAAAAUUUGGUGUUCCUGCUUCUCAGGCAGCUAUUUGUAACAUUGCAGAAUGUAGAAGCUUAGUCAAAACUUUAGUAUGCGCAGUGAAAACUGUUACUUGGGGAAUAACGGCUUACAAGUUUUCUGGCGGUACGCUUUAUUUACACCUUCCUAAAAAAUUUUGUUUUAGUAUGACUAUAGACAUAUCCAUAACCUAAAUGAAAUGUUGUAAAAUGUGAUUUUUUUUUACU